GAAACUUCAUGCUCAUACAAAACUAAAUAAAAAAACAAGAAUUAACAAAAUUCCAAUUAAUCAAUGACAAAAUUAAUGCAAAUUAACACCAAAAACACUGCAUUUUAUCAACACAUCAGAGAGACAUUAUUUGAAGGUCACUAUUGGAGAUAGCAUUGGGAAUGGAUGGGAGGGAGGUUCCAGUAUUUGUGCUCGAGGAGGUUGGAGCCAUGAAAGCUGAGGGGAACAUAAUGAGCAUGGCUGUUAGUGGGAAGGAUGGUAGGGUUGGCGUUCCCAAAGUAGGGAGAUUUCUGUGGUUGGUUUUCGCGAUCGGGCCGUCAUCGAUUUAAUGGGCAUUUGUGAGGAGGUAGAUUUUGGAAACUCUACUCAAAGAAAAUUAUCCUUCGUUUCCACAUAUGGCUUCAAUUGGUAACAAUUGAUAUUGGGGGUAAUUAGAUUGAGCAAUGUGUUUGGGUUUCAAGUAUGAUACGAUCAAGUAUAAUCUGGCAGGAUAUGGGUAGUUUGAAGUACACAAGCUAAAAAGCUCGUGUAAAUGACGCUAGCAAAAUGGAAAGGGAUAAAAGGCUAAGAGAGUCUUCCCUACUUGGCACUUAGAUGACUGAAUUAGCAAAGGAUAAGGAAGAUAACUAGGAGAGUUAACGAGACUACGAAGGUGAGUAAAUGAAGUUUUUUCUUUUUUUUUUUU
rnacentral:misc_RNA from 1 species